rnacentral:snoRNA from 1 species
ACAAUGUGAUGAAACAAAAACUUUCAGUUCUGCUUCUGUAUUCCUGAAGAAAACUAUAUACCAAACGUACAUUACUCUGACUU